rnacentral:miRNA from 1 species
AACUUGAUCUCAUGAGGUCUGUUAGUCUAGACUCUCUGCCUUCAGCAUGCAACUUUAUCUACUAAAGCCAUCAAUGAAAGGUCUUGGGGCCAAAACUUCUCA